AAAUGGCAGCACAAAAGGAAAUCUAUAUUAAUAGAAUAUUUUGUUGAACAAAGGAGGUUAGAUAAGAACUGCAAACCAACAGACUCAGCAAACAAGGAAAGAAACGUGUUAGCCAUAAGACAUGUUUCAAGUGAAUCGAAGUCCAAUAACUGUAGACUUCAGAAGAAAAAAGUUUUCAAAAAUUUUAUCAAAACAGGUCACUGAUAAAUAACUCCUCCAGUAAUAGGGCUAGGCCUGAAACCAAAAUUAAUUAAAAAAUUAACAAAACAGAUUGAACCUGAAUUAAAUUUCUUUUGAUUAAAAAAACUUGUUAAAAAUAAUCAAAAUUUUCCUCAAAUUUUUAUUACCUUGUCCAAAGUAAAGCAAGUAUCUUUUAGCAUUCAUGCCAGCUUUUCUCAUGUUCUAGGAAUGACAGAAACCUUACUUGAAGCAAACUAGUAUUUUUGUUGAAAAUGUAUAUCAGCAUCAGUUAAAGUUGAUUGUUCAGACCUGCUCCUCAGUAAUAAUACUAGCUAAUCAGCAUUCACGCCUACCAGGACACAAAAAUCCUCUUCAAAACUACUCAGAAAAGAAAGUCAUUACUCAGGAAUGAUGUCCAUUCAGGAGAAAUCAAAAGAGAAUUCCUCCAAAGUUACUAAAAAAAGUGAAGAUAAGAAUUCAGAAACAGAAAUUCAGGAUUCUCAAAAGAAUCUAGCAAAAAAAUCAGGUCCAAAGGAGACUAUAAAAUCACAGGCGAAAUCUUCCAGUGAAAGUAAAAUAAAUCAGCCAGAAUUGGAAACACGCAUGAGUACAAGGUCAUCAAAGGCAGCAUCUAAUGAUAAAGCUACUAAAUCCAUUAAUAAAAAUACGGUGACUGUGAGGGGACAUUCACAAGAAUCUACAAAAAAGAAAUUAUCUCAGAAAAAAUUAGUACAUGAAAACCCCAAAGCAAAUGAACAGCUUAACCGGAGAUCACAAAGACUACAACAAUUAACAGAGGUUUCAAGAAGGUCUUUACGCAGUAGAGAAAUUCAGGGUCAAGUUCAAGCAGUUAAACAGAGUUUGCCAUCAACUAAAAAAGAGCAGUGUAGCAGUACUCAGAGUAAAUCUAAUAAAACAAGUCAAAAACAUGUGAAGAGAAAAGUACUGGAAGUAAAGUCUGACUCUAAAGAAGAUGAAAAUCUAGUAAUUAAUGAAGUAAUAAAUUCUCCCAAAGGGAAAAAACGCAAAGUAGAACAUCGGACAGCUUGUGCUUGUAGUUCUCAGUGCAUACAAGGAUCUGAAAAGUGUCCUCAGAAGACUACUAGAAGAGACGAAACGAAACCUGUGCCUGUAACUUCUGAGGUGAAAAGAUCAAAAAUGGCUACUAAAGUGGUCUCGAAAAAGAAUGAGAUGAAGAAGUCGGUUCAUACACAAGUGAAUACUAACACAACACUCCCAAAAAGUCCACAGCCAUCAGUGCCUGAACAAAGUGAUAAUGAGCUCGAGCAAGCAGGAAAGAGCAAACGAGGUAGUAUUCUCCAGCUCUGUGAAGAAAUUGCUGGUGAAAUUGAGUCAGAUAAUGUAGAGGUAAAAAAGGAAUCUUCACAAAUGGAAAGUGUAAAGGAAGAAAAGCCUACAGAAAUAAAAUUGGAAGAGACCAAUGUUGAAAGACAAAUACUUCAUCAGAAGGAAACAAAUCAGGAUGUGCAGUGUAAUCGUUUUUUCCCAAGUAGAAAAACAAAGCCUGUGAGAUGUAUACUAAAUGGAAUGAACAGCUCAGCCAAGAAGAACUCCAACUGGACUAAAAUUAAACUCUCAAAGUUUAACUCUGUGCAGCACAAUAAGUUGGACUCUCAAGUUUCCCCUAAAUUAGGCUUAUUACGAACCAGUUUUUCACCACCAGCUUUAGAGAUGCAUCAUCCAGUGACUCAAAGUACAUUUUUAGGGACAAAGCCACAUGAUAGAAAUAUAACUUGCCAGCAGGAAAAAAUGAAAGAAAUUAAUUCUGAAGAAGUGAAAAUUAAUGAUAUUACAGUAGAAAUUAAUAAAACCACAGAAAGGGCUCCUGAAAAUUGUCAUUUGGCUAAUGAGGUAAAACCUUCUGACCCACUAUUGGAUAAUCAGAUGAAACAUUCUUUUGAUUCAGCAUCAAAUAAGAAUUUCAGCCAAUGUUUGGAAUCCAAGCUAGAAAACAGUCCAGUGGAAAAUGUUACUGCUGUUUCGACUCUGCUCGGUCAAGCAAAAAUUGAUACAGGAGAGAAUAAAUUUCCAGGUUCAGCUCCCCAACAGCACAGUAUUUUCAAUAACCAGACAUCUAAAAGCAGUGAUAACAGGGAGACACCACGAAAUCAUUCUUUGCCCAAGUGUAAUUCCCAUUUGGAGAUAACAAUUCCAAAGGACUUGAAACUAAAAGAAGCAGAGAAAACUGAUGAAAAACAGUUGAUUAUAGAUGCAGGACAAAAAAGAUUUGGAGCAGUUUCUUGUAAUGUUUGUGGAAUGCUGUAUACAGCUUCAAAUCCAGAAGAUGAAACACAGCAUCUCCUUUUCCACAACCAGUUUAUAAGUGCUGUUAAAUAUGUGGGCUGGAAGAAAGAAAGAAUUCUGGCUGAAUACCCUGAUGGCAGGAUAAUAAUGGUUCUUCCUGAAGACCCAAAGUAUGCCCUGAAAAAGGUUGACGAGAUUAGAGAGAUGGUUGACAAUGAUUUAGGUUUUCAACAGGCUCCACUAAUGUGCUAUUCCAGAACUAAAACACUUCUCUUCAUUUCCAAUGACAAAAAAGUAGUUGGCUGCCUAAUUGCGGAACAUAUCCAAUGGGGCUACAGAGUUAUAGAAGAGAAACUUCCAGUUAUCAGGUCAGAAGAAGAAAAAGUCAGAUUUGAAAGGCAAAAAGCCUGGUGCUGCUCAACAUUACCAGAGCCUGCAAUCUGUGGGAUCAGUCGAAUAUGGGUAUUCAGCAUGAUGCGUCGGAAGAAAAUUGCUUCUCGCAUGAUUGAAUGCCUAAGGAGUAACUUUAUAUAUGGCUCAUAUUUGAGCAAAGAAGAAAUUGCUUUCUCAGAUCCCACUCCUGAUGGAAAGCUGUUUGCAACACAGUACUGUGGCACUGGUUCAGAAGGUCACCCUGGGGUUUGUAAAAUGGGAAGGUAGAAGAGAGUUGUGAGGUACACCAUCAUUUAAGAGUCUCAAAGAAGACUGCCUAAGAAGGCGUGAGCAGCAAGGUAGGAGAGCCAGAAGAGAGUGGUAGAAACCAAGGGAAAAAUGUCAAGAAUCAAAGAAUGGUCAACCCUGUCAUACCACAAUUGAAGACUGAAGACAGCCCAAGUGAUGUUAGGAAAAGAGCAGUCUCAGUGGAGUGGUGGAGGCAGCAGGGACACAGUGAGUAUACACUAAUGGCCACAGACUGCAGAAGAAGGUGAGUCUGUAAUUGCUGACUAUAUAAAGGUGCUUAUAAAUUUUUUGUUAGCAGCCCUCAUAUAGUUGUUGGUUGUUUAUAAAAAUGUCUAGCAUAGAGACGUUGUAAGAGCCACAAAUAUAGUCAGGAACUACAAGAUUUUAUGGAUGAUGCCUUUACCUGCAUGGACACACAAAUUAAAAGCAGUAUUUUACUACUUCAUAAUACGCAAGAGUGAACUUGGUUUGUCUACUGAAAGCCUGACUGUUGUAAGGACAGUCAGUGAGUACAACAAACCUGCAGUGUUAUUUUAAUUGUUCUUGUUUACUUUGCACGGCUGCCCAGCUAUAGAGUCUUAUCCUUCUGGAUGGGAACACAACUGUAUUCCUGCCCAUCCACAUUGCAGCUAGGGUUGAGAUUGCUGAGUUGAUUUCUAGGGUAGUGACUCUAGACAUACAUUUUCUUUCUCAUGGCUCUUGAGUCUUUUGGCAGAAAAAGGGAUGAGUUCUGUCUUUUAGCAACCCCCCAACCUUCUGGUAAAAAUAAAAUACAUUGGACUAGUAAAAAUAAAAUAUUUGGAAUGAAGUGGUCAGAAAACAACUUACGGGUGUUGCCUUUUUUUUUUUUUAAACUUAAUAAGCAUCUAUUGUCAUAAUCACUGAAGUAGAUGCUUUAACUCAACACUUGAUAGUUGAGAGCACAGUGAAUUUAUUAUGUGAAUGACUUUUUCAUUGGCCUUAGAGGCAAUUCCUAAAGUCAUCUUUAGCAGUAUUUUUACUGUUGUUGUUUUGUUUUCAGUGAAGCCAAGGUUUCAGUGUUAGAGUAGUAAUUCUCCUAGUCUCAGAGGAAGCUUUAAGGACCAGUUUCCAGUUUCUGUGUCUAAAGAGAAGCUUGAGAAAUGUUCAUUCUCUGGAUGUUGUUUCAGGCCUAAGUAGUUUAGUGUGAUGUUGCAGCAGUCAGUUUCACAGUUAAUAGUCUUUUCAAGGCAGCUGCUUUGGAAUGUAUAGUGGAACACCAGUAGUCUUGACUUUCCUCUGAAAGUCUGUCAUUACACGUACAAAUAUUUGUUGCCCUUCCUGAGGGUUCUCUGGCCUAGAAGAUUGUUUUCAUGGAAUCUAUGUCAAAUUCUUUUAAUUUACUACACUUUAUUAAUAGAUUGAAAGCCAUUUUUCUGGGACAACAAAGUUAUUUCUUCUCAAAAGUUGGUAAAAUUUUUCAGAAGAUAUAAUUCAUACUACAAUAACACCAUCUUCAUACUACAUAGUUCUAGCAACUUUGAGACGCUCUCAAAAAGUUUGAGAAGUUUUAACUGCAGAUUAACAAUAACACCUUGUAUUAGUUUUAGCAACCCAAAGUUCUGUUUCCAAAAGGACAUCAAAGUGAGUGUAGUUGCAAUCUGUCAAAUAAAAGAUUGGGAUCUACUAUUUAUGUUUUAAACAUCUCUUUAAUCUUGGUUGUCCAACCUAUAAUGUGACUUCCAGCCUUUUUAGGACGUUGCCAGAGUCAGGGAGCUUGUUUUCUUAACAUGCCAGAAAACUAUGAAGAAAAAAUAACUUUUUGGAGGGGGUGGGAGAUAACUUUAAUACAUUAAGCAAAUUAAAUCAAAGGACAAAACAUAACAGUAGACACAAGACAAUUUUGAAUCAUUAACAAAAUGUGAGGUAGACUAGUGAAAUUCACCAAAUUUUGGUUAAGAACAUUUUACAGUAAUAAAGUAACACAGGUGCCCCAUUUUCUAAAAAUCACAAAAAGCAAUUGCAUAAAUUACAGCCAAAAAAAAUUGACUACAACAAUUCUCUUCUAGUUUUUAGUUUACAUUCAGUAUUAACCUGUGUGAACUGUCAUACAUGCUGAGGUUCAGCAGGUCUACAGGUGAGUUACUGUGUGGGCCUAGCGAAUCCAUUCAUCCCACAUCAGUGUCCUAAGGGAUUGCAAAGCUUAAAGCUGAACACACUAGGAUAUAUAUAUAUAUACAAAUCAUGGUGUCCUGUGCUUGUGCAAUUUUAUCCUUAAAGAAGGACCUAACAUACUCAAGAAUUAUACUGAUAAGAUGAUUUUAAAAGAUCCAAACAUUAGUAAGAUAGGCUUUGAAAAGAAUAGGCAGGUCAGUUUCUCUGUUAUGGGGGUGAUGGUCUUUUGGCUUUAUUCUGGCAUAUCUAUCUCUUCCACAGAGUUAAAUAGUAUUUAAGAGCUCAUAAUAAUAAUUUGAAUUUUCAGAGUGCAGCCCUAACUAAUGGAGUACCUGCAUCUGAUGUAACUACUUAAAAAAAAAGUUCUUUAAACUAUGAAGUCAUAAAGCCAGAAGAAACCCUGAGAGGCCAUCCACCCCAGGUACAAUUGUUUUAGAAUUCUUUCAAGUAUUUUAUUUGCUCUAUGUAAAUGUUAUUGGAAUAUUGCACAGACAGUGGGUUUCUUGGUAUUAUUUGCAUUAGGCCCUUUCAACAAAACAGGAACAAGUGAAAUACAUUCAUAUUUAAACCAAACUGCUUCAAAACAUACCUCUUUACCAAAAAUUCUGCUGCACUAAAAUUAAGGAGUAUUUUUUAAAGCAUAUAUAAGGCAGGUCCUCUUUGAAGGACAAUUAAAAAUGGGGUUAAAAGGAAUUGUUCACUUCAAAAUACAGUUAAAGCAUUAUAAGUAGCUAUAUUAAAACCAAGAGAUCUGCAAACCAUUUUUAGUCUAAUACAUUCCAUGUUUUCACUAGCUUUGUAAACUCCUUGUUGUCAUAAGAUAAUAAAGCUGGUCAAUUAACACUAUUUGUUCUAAGUAAAUGCAGGCUUAGUAGGCCCCUCAGUAGUUUCAGGUCACAAACAAGAUCGAUUCAAGUGAAAAUGGCCAUUUGAAGUGGGGAUAAAGUAGUAAAUAUGGGCUAAUGAGAAAACUCUGAAGAGAUUGUUCAAUGAUGAGAACUGGAGUAAUUUAAGAGUAAACUUCUAAGACUUAGUUUUGUCUAGAACACUUUCUAAAAAUAAUGUUUUUGAUUAAAAUAUUUGAGAAAUCUGUAGAAACAUAUGCCUCCCAUUGCUGAUACUGGACAAACACCCCCUGCUGAUUUUAAUGAAUCAAAAAGACUCUUAAUGGAGUCUUCCUUACUCCUCACAAGAGUCACUGGUAAGAUUAAGUAAAAAAACAUUUCUCUUUCUAUGGCUCAAUUUCCCAAUUCGGCAAUUUCUGUGGCGUUGUCUGUGUAAGGUGGUAAUAUUUAGUGCAUCUUUUAAAGGAAGCUUUGCUUGAGUCCCUGAAAGGAAGCAAACUAGUUUCACUCUGCAACAGAACCUCAGCCUGACAUUUAGGUUUGCUGGUGCCAACUGCUUAAUUCUAACCAAAUGGUGGGUGCAGGUUACCUGCUGAAAGCUUAACUCAACUGACUUAAUCAAAUUCUUGCAAAAGAUUAAUCACUGUUCCAUAGUCUCAUAGAUAAGAUAUUCUUAAAGACUGGAAACACAUUUAAAGAAUGGGUAAAGCAAAGGAAUUAGGCUAGGAGAAGAUGCAUAAAUGCACACAAUGCCUGCUCUGCAUUUACUGAUUUGUUUGUUCAGUUUAAAUAGUAAACUUUUAACUCCUGUGGAAAUUUUGCCAAAAGUUUCAAUACAUAGAAGAUUAUAAAUCUUAAACUAACACUGCACAGAGAAAGACAAAGCUACUUAUUUUUUUAAAUACAAAUAUCGUCUACAUUCUAUCAUUUCAAACCCCUGAGUAAUACUGUACCAAAGUACAGAUCUGAAGAGAAACUGAGGGUUCAGGCCUCAAACGUUAAUCUUCAAUUAAUUCCACACCAAUGGCAUGAGUCUCAUGUAACACAUUCAGGCUAGUUAAUCCUGACAGUCAGUUUCCCUCUAACAUAGUGUAAUAGAAAAAAAUAAUGCAAACUCCAUAUUCACUCUCCAAAGUAUAUCCUCCUCAGGAUCCCAUGGGCAGACCGUAUCUUAAGUAAUUGCAUAACUGCCUAGGGUAGAGUUUACCUGAAUUUAAGGGUCCUGUAAUUGGAACUGAAGGAAAGUGAUGUCCCCAAAGACCUGGAUUGGAUUUGGGGAGUUCUUUGGAGAAUUUAGACAAAUAUGUUGCACUUUGCUUCACAGUGAUUGUACUUUAAAGGAAAAAAAAAACUCAAAUUUUUUCUGUCCCAUCCCACCUAGGCAUUUUUCUGCUGUUUUUGGUCUCUUCAAAAGCUCAUACAUGACGUCCAGUAAGAAAGUAGAGAGGCUUGUCAUCACUGCUGUUAGCAGUUUGAAACUCGUCCCGGAGGCGGAACUGCCACUCAUCUUCUAGCUCUAAGCGGACAAUUGUUUGGCGCAAGGAACUUCUGUCUUGGCAGAUGACACACAGCGUAGCACCUUCAGGAAAAAAGACAGAAAUAUGUCCUAGGCUCAGGGAUUGAGUUUAUAAAGAAUUUUAUCUCUGAUUAUAUUUCCUAAGCUAACACAUCUGAGAACCAACAGAUGGAUAAGCAAACUACCAGAAUUGUUUAAUUUUAUUAAGUAGUUUUGCAAAUUUAGUAAUUUUUUUUUUUUUUUGAGACGGAGUCUUGCUCUGUCUCUAGGCUUGAGUGCAGUGGUGCGAUGUCGGUUCACUGCAACCUCUGCCUCCUGGGUUCAAGCAAUUCCCCUGCAUUAGCCUCCCAAGUAGCUGGGACUACAGGCAUGUGCCACCAGGCCCAGCUAAUUUUUUUUUUUUGUAUUUUAGUAGAGAUGGGGUUUCAUCAUGUUGGCCAGGAUGGUCUCGAUCUCCUGACCUCGUGAUCCACCUGCCUCAGCCUUCCAAAGUGCUGGGAUUACAGGUGUGAACCACUGCGCCCAGCCCAAAUUCAGUAAUUUUUAAAAGAGUAUAAAGUAAGUAAUCUUCCAACCACAUUCCCUCUUCCCUGUGAUAACUAAUGUUAUGUUUCUCAUGUGUUCCUCCUAGAUUAGGGUUUCUGAACCUCAGCACUAUUGGACUUGGAUAAUUCUUUGUUGUGGGGGCUAUUCUGUGUCUUCCUUUUUGUUUUUUUUUGGAGACAGAAUCUUGCUUUGUUGCCCAGGCUGGAGUGUGGUAGCGCAAUCUUGGCUCACUGCAACCUCCGCCUCCUGGGUUCAAGCAAUUCUCCUGUCUCAGCCUCCCAAGUAGUUGGGACUACAGGUGCACACCGCCACUCCCAGCUAAUUUUUUGUAUUUUAGUAGAGACGGAGUUACACAGUGUUGCCCAGGCUGGUCUCAAACUCCUGAGCUCAGCCAAUCCACCCACCUUGGCCUCCCAAAGUGCUGGGAUUACAGGCGUGAGCUGUCACAGCUAGUCUUGUUCUGUGUCUUGUAGGAUGUUUAGAAUCUAAACAUCCUCCAGUCUUGGCUUCUGCCCACUGUAUGCCAGCAAGCAGCAGCCUCCAGUGUGACAAUCAAUCAGAAAUGUCUCUGUCUCCUGGGAGGCAAAAUCUACCAUUCCCCCAUCCCCAAUAAGUCUCUAAAUAAAUAAAUAAGUGAAUGAAUGAAUGCACAGUCCCCCCACAACCCCGCUCCCUGUUCUCAUGCUGCACAGUGUUCUGAACCUCACUUUCUUCACUGAUCUCAAAGGUCAUUUUAUAAGGAUUAUCUGUGAUGUUUAAUCUUAGUUUGUUCUUAGACCAGUCUCUCUCUUUUUUUUUUUUUUGAGAUGGAGUUUCACUGUUGUUGCCCAGGCUGGAGUGCAAUGGCACGAUCUUGGCUCACUGCAACCUCUGCCUUCCGGGUUUAAGCGAUUCUCCCGCCUCAGCCUCCCGAGUCACUGGGAUUACAGGCAUGCGCCACCACACCCGGCUGAUUUUGUAUUUAUUUAUUUAUUUUUGAGAUGGAGUCUCGCUCUGUUGCCCAGGCUGGAGUGCAGUGGCACGAUCUCGGCUCACUACAAGCUCCACCUCCCGGGUUCACGCCAUUCUCCUGCCUCAGCCUCCCCAGUAGCUAGGACUUCAGGCGCCCACCACCAUGCCUGGCUAAUUUUUGUUGUAUUUUUUAGUAGAGACGGUUUCACCAUGCUAGCCAGGAUGGUCUCGAUCUCCUGACCUCGUGAUCCACUCGCCUCGGCCUCCCAAAGUGCUGGGAUUACAGGCGUGAGCCACUAUGCCUGGCCUCAAGUGCUUUUUAAAAAUAUCUUUAUCUUCUGUAUUUUGCUCAGUGGGAACCAAUAGCAAUUACAAGCAAGAUACUAAAUUUGACUUACCUUUUAGAAAUUUAAAUUUCUUAAGAAGAUCAGCACCUACAAAAGAGUCACAGAGGUACAAAAGGAGUCCACUGAAAAACACCCCUUCACAGUUGACAUUGCUGGAGUGGGGUCUGGAGCUGAUAUAGCAUACUGCCACCUGAAAUCAUCAAGCAGAAAUAGCAUGGGCAUUUCAAGAGCAAGCAAAAUAUCUGCAGUUCAGCAGAAUGAGGAGUCAGUACCUUCCUUUUUGUCUAUUUCAAGAUAAGGUAAAGGAGAUGAGUUUUUUCCAAUGUUAACUUAAAUGGCUUGGUUAGUUAAGCUUUGCAGCCUCUUUUAUGUAGCAUGCCAAGUGUUAACCUAUUUAAAGCUUCUCUUAUUUAUUUCUCAUAAUAAAGGACUAUUAGGAGACAAAUUAGUAGUAAGAAACAAGCCCUUCCAUUUAAGAGUCUUAUCAAAUUUAAAAAACUACCUUCCACAAAAAAGCAUACUUAGGAAAGAUUAAAUGUUUGGAUUGCUUUAUUGGUGAGAAUAAAAAAUAUUUUUGACCAGCUUUCCAUUUAGAUAUACUUAAAUUUUCAAUUGGAUGGAAGCUUAAGACAGUGCAUGGGCUGGGUGUGGUGGCUCACGCCUGUAAUCCCAGCCCUUUGGGAGGCCAAGGUGGAUGGAUCAUCUGUGGUCAGGAGUUAGAGAGCAGCCUGGCCAACGUGGCAGAAUCCCGUCUCUACUAAAAAAUACAAAAAAAGUUAGCCAGGCGUGAUGGUGCACACCUGUAAUCCCAGCUGCUUGGGAGGCUGAGGCAGGAGAAUCGCUUGAACCCUGGAGGUGGAGGUUGCAGUGAGCCAAGAUUGCACCAUUGCACUCCAGCCAGGGUGACAAGAGUGAAACUCCAUCUCAAAAAAAAAAAAGACAGUGCAUGAAUUUAAAUUUUUGGUUCUAUCUGGCUUCUGUGAACAGAAGAUAACUGCAAAAAUUACAGAGAAGUAAGUAAGAUAGUUGGGAGUUAAAACAGUGGAAUGGCUAAAUGCAUGAGCCGGUCUGCUUGGGUUCAAAUACUGGUUCCUCCAUUUAGUAGCCAUGGAACAAUGAGCAGUCUCCUUCAUUUCACUAUACCUCAGUUUCCUCAUCUGUAGAGAUAACAAUAGUACUUGUUUCAUAGGAUGUUUUCUGAAUUAAAUAACUUAGUAUUCAGUAAAUGUUAGCUGUUGUUAGGUAUUGAGAUUGUGUUAAUACCUAGAGCCCUGGACUCUAGGAUAGGGGAAUUGGAAUAUCUGGAUCAGACAUGUAAAUUACAUACAUCUUUUACAGUACUUACAUAAAUACUGUAAAAGAUGUUAGUAGAUCUCGUGGGUGUGGGUUUUUUUUUUUUUUUUUUGAGAUGGGGUCUCUGUCACUUAGGCUGUAAUGCAGUGGCACAAAUCAGAUCACUGCAACCUUGAAUUCCUGGGGUCACGUGAUCUUCCCACCUCAGCCUUUUGAAUAGCUGGGACUACAGGCAUGUGCCAUCGCACCUGGCUAAUUAUUUUUAUUUUUUGUAGUGACAAGGUGUUACCAUGUUGUCCAGGCUGGUCUCGAACUCCUGGCCUCAAGUGAUCCUCCCACCUCAGCCUCCCAAAGUGCUGGGUUAUAGGCAUGAGCUUCUAUGCCUGGCCUUUACAUCUGAUGGUUUUUAAGGUUCCUUCUACUUCUAAAAUUCUAUAAUUCAUUACCCAAUCUACAGUGUAGAUUAUUGAAACAUAAAAAUGGGAAUGUAAAAUGUUUACACUGUGAAGUUUUAAAAAUUAGUUUCCAAAACUGAAUACAGUUGGACUUUAGCGUUAAAAGAGUAUGUGUAUGGAUACGUGUGUUUUUUUCAAUACGUACAAAGAAAAAGCCCUGGAAGGAAAUGUAGUACACCAAAAUGUUCUUCUGGCAGGUGACUUUACUUUCUUAUGAUUUUAAAACAUUUUUUACAAGGAGGAUGUAGUACAGUAAUCAUUUCUAAAGGCACAGCUUAGUAGCAGGAGCCUGGAAGUGCAAGUGGCAGUUUUAAAAAAAACUAAAACGUGAAAAAUUUUACAAAGAAGUCCAAGGGGUGGAAAGUGGAGAAAUGCCACCUCUAAAGGCUUUAGGUGGUACACGUUUAUUUGUUCAAUAAUCACUGAGCUCCUCUUAACGUAUGUCUAAAACAAUGGCUAAGACAUUGUGUGUCUUUGAAGAACUCACACUUUUAUGAAGAAAAACCCACAUAAGUACAAUAUAAUCUGAUGAAUGUUAAGAGAAGUGGGAGCAAGCAACUGCUGCCCAAAGUCACGGAGGUAGGCUUCUCAGAGAUGCUGACAGCUGAGUUGUAUGUUCUCUGGCCCAUUUGUGGAGAUAAAAUAGGCAUGGGGAGGGCAAACUGCCAUUGCAUGUUGUGUGAGCCUUUGCAUAAGUGAGUAUGCAAAAGGGCAGAAAUACAAGUUUUGAUCUGUAUUACUAUCUUUAAUAAAAGUUCUGGCAAAGGACCAGACUGGCAUCUUGAUUUAUAUUUCAUGUCACAGGCUCCUUUUUUGCAAACAGCUAAAAUGAGAAAGAAAUGGAUGGAUGUAGGUAAGCACAGUAUCCCCCACACCCUUUUUACCUCUGGUCCAAUGUUAAGGUAGCAGUCAAUGGCCAGCACAGGACUCCUGAAGUUAUGGAUGGCUUUGGGGAAGAGUUUAUAUGAGGCGUGCUGAAGGAAUUUCUCCAGGAGAAACUGUGCAGGGGCUGCCAGUAGCGUGUGUUCACUGUCGGGAGCACAGAUGUAUUGAAGGGGCAAGAUGGGUGCUAAGCUCUCUGACACCUGAAAUCAGAGCCGAGAUGAUCAUGGGAAACUUGUCUGUCACUGGAUUAAACAGAUGCCCCUGACCAGCACCCCCUAGCAAUGUGAGGGGGCACUACCCCAAGGAGAGAACCACUGAUUUGGCCCAGGCGUAGUUUUACAGAUGAUGGACUUGAGAUAUGGAGAGGUGAGAUGACUUUCCUUUUUCAUACAGUUAAGAAGCAUGACUGCGUGUGGUGGCUCACACUUGUAAUCUCAACACUUUGGGAGGCCGAGGCGGGAGGAUUGCUUGAGCCCAGGAGUUCAACACCAGACUGGGCAACAUCUCUACAAAAAAUUAUAAACAAAAAACACAGUUGGGGCUAAAACCAGGUCUCCUGAUUUGAGAUGUCAGCAGUCUUUCUCCGUAAAUCGUAGUGUCUCAACAGACUUUAUUUUUGUUUUUUUGAGACAGAGUCUUGCUCUGUCACCCAGGUUGGAGUGCAGUGGCACAAUCUCAGCUCACUGCAACCUCUGCCUCUUGGAUUCAAGUGAUUCUCUUGCCUCAACCUCCCAAGUAGCUGGGACUACAGGCACGCGUCACCACGCUCAGCUAAUUUUUGUAUUUUUAGCAGAGACGAGGUUUCGCCAUGUUGGCCAGGCUGGCUGGUCUAGAACUCCUGGUCUUAAAUGAUCAGCCCGCCUUGGCCUCUCAAAGUGCUGGAAUUACAGGCAUGAGCCACCAUGCCUGGCCUCAAUAGACUUUAAUAGCUAACCAAUGCUGUGAUCCCAGAAUGGUCCAGGAAUUUAAUGGGCUACUGAAUGUCUAAAUAAAAGAUUCCUAAGUCACCACAAAAUGUUCUAGUGAGGGUUGUCUCAUGGUUGACUGUUUUGCUCUGGAAAGCUGUCUCUCUCUCACUUACUUCCGUAUGUAACUGUAGUCAAGAAAUGUUUUGUCCUGUCUACAGCAUUGUGUCAUACACCCCCAGAACAGCUUGGAAGUCUACCUGGAUGGCUCCUGAACACUGUGAAUGUUCCAUAGGACACAUGAGUCAUCCAUCAUGACGAUGAAAGGCCAGACACACUGGCGUUUAAUGCCUAGCUCCUCCAGGCGGUUUCUCUCCAGUUCUAGGUUGUGAUAUGAUAGCUCCUUGAUGAGGAACCUGGCAGCACCUGGAAGGCAACAUAACCACAUCUGCAUAUCCACACAUCCUUCACUCAGGCUUGGCUGAAGCCCCACAGGCAGCUAUAUUCUCUCCACAGAAUGCCUGUUCACAUGGGAACCAUGCAGGUGGGAGCCAACCAAAUGUUCAGAGCAGUGGCUCUCAAACCAGUGUUACUGGGGAAUCACUUUUAAAUGUAGAUUCUUAAGAGUCCAUUACUAGAACUGCAUUUGAGUAGGUAUGGUGAAGGGGCAGAAACCAGAGAUAUCUUUGAGGAUGCAAAUGAUAUGAACCACACUUUGAAAGUAUUGCAAGAAUCCAGUUUCCCUCAUAGGACAAAGGAAUCCACAUCUAGGAAAUGCUGUUACUGUUUACUUCCUUGAAGCACGACAAGAGGCUCUCUCAGACUUGGAAGCAGCCACUCACAUGUCCUGUACUAGGGAGUUAACUGGGCUGCAGUGAGUGGGUAUGCCAAUUCCACUGAUAUGUCCCCUGCUUUAGAUACUUCAAGGAAACUGACAGCAGCUUCUUUUCUGAAGAAGACUCUGGAAACUGGCACCCUUUCCCUAGAUCUGCCUUUUGCAAGAGGCAAUAUGGUAUAGAGAUUAAGAGAAUAGACAGGAGCCAAACUGUCUGAUUUUGAAUCCUAAUUCCACCACUUUCUAGCCAUGUGACCCUUAACAAAUUAAACCCAUUGUGCCUUGGCUUCCCCACCUCUAAGAAGGCAAUAAUAAUGGCAAUCUCAUAGGGUUUCUGUAUGAUGCUCAGGAUAGCGCCUAGCACCCUCUAAGUACUUGGUGAAUGUUAGUGAUUAUCAAGAUGAUAGUCAGGAAUCAGCCAAAUUUUAUGAGUGGGCCAUCCUAAAAUGAAACAAAAUGUAGGUGAUAAAUGAAAGAAAAGCUAUUAAAUCUAUGGAAGAACCCAAAGCAGUGUGAACAGAUCAAGGGUAAAACUGGGAUUUAGGAAAAUCUACCUUCCAAGAACAUGUGUGUAAUAGUUCACAUUCUCAACAUAACAAAGGCCGUAUGAAAAGCCCGCAGCUAACAUCAUCAUAGUCAAUGGUGAAAGACUGAAAGCUUUUCCAAAACUGAGAUCAGGAACAAGACAAGGAUGCCACUUUUACCAUUUCUAUUUAACGUAAUACUGGAAGUCACGGCCAGAGAAAUUAAGAAAAAAAGGGCAACCAAAGAGGAAGGAAGUAAAAUUAUCUCUGUUCCCAGGCAACAUACACAUAGAAAACUAAAAAUUCCACCAAAAAUCCCCUUUAGAAUGAAUAUGUGAAUCCAGCAAAGAUGCAGAUGCAAAAUCAACACCAAAAUCAGUUGCAUUUCUAUACCUCAACCGUGAACAAUCUAAAGGAAAUCAAGAGUUCCAUUUACAAUAGCAUCAAAAAGAAUUAAAGACUUAGGAAUCAACUUACUUACCUAAGGAGGCAAAAGACUUGUACAGUGAAAAGUACAAAGCAUUGAUGAAGGAAAUUAAGGAAGACACCAAUAAAUGGAAAGACAUGCUGUGUUUAUGGAUUGGAAGACUUGAUACUAGAUACCAGUGCUAUCCAAAGUGAUCCAUAGCCUUAAUGCAGUCCCCAUCAAAAUCCCAAAGACUUUGCAGAAAUACAAAAAUCCAUCCUGUGAUUCGUCCAGUAUCUCAGGGGAUCCCAAAUAGCCAAAACAAUCUUGAAAGAGAGGCAAAGUUAGAGAUCUCACACUUACUGAUUUCAGAACUUACUACAAAGCUAUAGUAAUGAAAAUAGUGUGGUAGUUUUGAUCUGGGCCUAUAGAAAGCCCAGAAAUAAACCCUCUCAUAUAUGGUCAAAUGAUUUUUGACAAAGGUGCCAAAGCCAUUCAGUGGGUAAAAGAUGGUCUUGUCAACAAACACAGUUGGGGGCCGGGCACGGUAUCUCACACCUGUAAUCUCAGCAUUUUUGGGAGACUGAGGUAGGAGGAUCACUUGAGGCCGGCAGUUUGAGAGCAGCCUAAGCAACAUAGACUCGUGUCUCUACAAAAAAUUUAAAAAUUAGCCAGGCAUGGUGGCAUACACCUAUAGUCCUAGCCACUCAGGAGGUGGAGGUGGGAGGAUUGCUUGAGCUCAGAACUUGGAGGCUACAGUGAGCUAUGGUCGUACCACUGCACACUCUAGCCUGGGUGACAGAGCAAGACCCUGUCUUAAACAAAAAAACAAAAUGGUGCUGGGAAAACCUGAUAGUCACAUGCAAAAGAAUGAAGUUGGACCAUUACCUUAGACCCUACACAAAAAUUAACUCAAAAUGGAUCAAAGACCUAGACAUAAAAGCUAGAACUACAAAUCAUUUAGAAGAAAGCAUAGGGGAAGGCCUUGUGACAUUGAAUUUGGCAGUGAUCUCUUACAUAUAUCAAAAACAAAAGCUAAGAAGAAACAGACAAACUGGACUUCAUCAAAUAAUAGAGUAAAAGGCAAUCCAUGGAAUGGGAGAAAAUCUUUUUUUUUUCUUUUUUGAGACGGAGUUUCACUCUUGUUGCCCAGGCUGGAGUGCAGUGGUACAAUCUCAGCUUACCGCAACCUCCACCUCCCUGGUUCAAGUGAUUCUCCUGCCUCAGCCUCCUGAGUAGCUGGAAUUAACAGGCAAGUGCCACCAUGCCAGGCUAAUUUUGUAUUUUUAGUAGAGACGGGGUUUCUCCAUGUUGGUCAGGCUGGUCUUGAACUCCCUAUUUCAGGUGAUCUGCCCACCUCGGCCUCCCAAAGUGCUGGGAUUACAGGUGUAAGUUACCGUACCCGGCCAAGGCAGUAAAUUUUAUGUUAUGUGAUUUUUACCAAAAAUAAAAAUAAUGGUUUGUAUAUUU